rnacentral:misc_RNA from 1 species
CAGCUUUCACUGCUUUGCAACGUACAUCGAAGUACAGCCUCGUUCUGAGACUAGUUUUUAUACGAAGACAAACAUAAUCAAGCGAAAUACUAUAAUAUUUGUAAGUGACAGCGUCGUAUCCACACAUCUCAGAUUCCUUAUUGUGAUUACAUGCUCUGUUGCCAGUCACACUGAAUGAAUGCAGAUAUACAAUAAAUUAUAAAGGCAACAUAACGGAUUUUCCUUAAAUAUUAUUUUAAUUCAAAAUAAAAAUCUUAGAAAUGUAAUACAAAAUAUGAUGUCAAAAAGAAGUUAAGCUUUAAUGGUGUCAAUAGAAUACAAAAUUUUUGUGACUUUUAUUUUACAAAUCAAUGUCUCCUGCUAAAAGUAAAGGGCAAGGUCGGAAAUCCAAAAUGAAACUGAAACAACAUGGUCAGUAUUACCAUCAGAAUCAACCGUAUGUCGAUCCUCAUAUCUAUAAAAGAACUUCUAAAAAACAAAAGUCAUCUGAAUUUCAUGAUGAAUGUAUGGACCCUGCAACCUUAGAAGCUCAUGUUGAAGCAGCCACGGCUGCAGCAUCAGCUGCAGUUGCAGCAGAAAUGGCAAAUUCUAAUCAUUCAAAUUUAAACUCAAAUGUGUAUUCAUCUUCAAAAACAGAUCAAUCACCAUCAAGAUUACUUACAUCCGAAGUUCCAAUAUUGCCCGAUGACUAUCAAAUGCAAUCUUCUCCUAGAGAUGUAGAUAUAGGGCAAGUGAAGCAAGAGGACUUACAGUUGUUCCUCGAGUCGAUUCCAGACUUUCAUCAUACUAAUAUUGUCAGAGGUGGUCGUUGUGUUAAAUCAGGUUACGUUCAUGUUGUCAAAGGUGAAAAUUACUUAAGAGACAUGUUUUAUAACACAGCAACAACUCCACAACGAAACAUAAUUGUUGUAAGAGAAACUCUUUAUUGUAAUGGGCGUGGAAACUGUUUGCGUGCCUGUGGAGGUAGAGGACAUUGUGUAGAAGGCUGUACCAGAAAAUCAGAAAGAGUAACUGGUGGACAUUCAUGUUUUUUUCAAGUGAAACUGUCCAUGUAUUCUGCAUCCAUUGGUACGUGGAGGGUAAAAGUACAAGGCAGUCACAAUGGACCAGUAGUCGCCUGGAAGAACCCAAUCAACCAUAAAGAUGAAGUGGGUAACAGAAAUCUGGAUUUUUUUAGUCUCGAUGCUACUCAUUCUGUUAACAGUUCUGGAAAUGACUUGAUAACUUCACAAGCAGAUGCUAUCCCAGAAUCUGUAUACUUGAAACCUGAUUGUAAACCUGUAACUCAAGGUAUAUUGAAUCAUGACGUUGAUAGUGUUGUUAAUAGUGUUGGCAAUGGUGAUAACAUACCAAACUGCAAAACUGAAGUUCAGAAUACCAAUAAUAGCAGCUAUCAAUUGACUUGUGAUGGCAGCUGCCAAGCAGAACUCAAGAAGUUACGCCAAGAGAAUACAUCUUUAAAAUUAGAGAUCCUACAGUUACGACAUGCAACUGAUGGAUUUAAACUUUUGGAAGAUCUGAAAGAACUGAUUGAGAAGUAUGAAACAAAUGAUAGUUUACCAACUACUCCCACAUCACCUGCAAUGUACUUGAUGAAGGUGAAGAAUCGGGAUAAUGAAUACGUGACUAUCACACAACCUUGAAAAUAUUGGGUGCAUUUUGACUUUCACUCUUCUGUGAAACAGAUGUUUUCAAUGGCAUGUUGGUGCUGUUAGUGAUGGCAAUCAUUGUUCAAAAGCACUACCACCAACUUCAAGUUAUAUUUCACCAUUUACCAGAAUACAAAAUGUCCAGCAUCUUUUCUUUAUCUCUCUUUACACACACUUAGACAGGUCAUUUUUAGAUAUAAAUUUAUCCUUACGAUAGUUUUGGUAAAAAAACCACCUGAAUAUUGAUUCUGUGCAAGUCAGCUGUAUGAUGAUGAACAUUGCUUGCAGUUUUACAAAGCAAGUGCCUUCACUUAACUAUUCUUGCGUUACUGUCUCAUUUUCUGUGUAUACAUUUUAAAAUUAUCCUUGUGCCAAGUUCUGAAUUUGGCAUCAAGUGAAAGAGUAUAGGAAGGAGUGUAAUUGAUUUUCAUGAUCUCAUUUCAUGCUUAGCACUUAUUUCAUCAUUUCUUAAGAAUGAAAGACAAAAUCAGUUUUAGCAGCACUUGAACUUAUAGCAUAUCAUCAUCAGCAUCAUCAUCAUCAUCAUCAUCGUCAUCUCCUUUUAAUGUCAGUCUUCCAUGCAUGCAUGGGUAGGACAGUUGACAGGAGCUGUCCAGAUAGAAGAUUACCCCCAAUGAUGAAAUUAUUUUCUGUAAAGUUUUUAGUCCAGUAUGCUACCUUUUUGACUGCAGAAAAGGAGUAGACAAAGCACUAUAUAACAACAGGAAAGUAUUCAUCAACCAAUCUGGCAUAAAAUUAAAGUCUAAAAAUAAAAA